rnacentral:rRNA from 1 species
UACGAGAGGUCCAAACGUUAUUCGGAAUUACUGGGCUUACAGAGUUCGUAGGCGGCUCUACAAGUGAGGUGUGAAAGCCCUCGGCUCAACCGAGGAACUGCGCUUCAAACUGUAGAACUAGAGGGAGAUAGAGGUGAGCAGAACUGAUGGUGGAGCGGUGAAAUGCGUUGAUAUCAUCAGGAAUACCGGAGGCGAAGGCGGCUCACUGGGUCUCUUCAGACGCUGAGGAACGAAAGCUAGGGGAGCAAACGGG